UUUUUUUUUUUUUAAUUUUAGGUGGAAGAAAAAUUUAAAUCAGGAAAUCCUAAGUGCAUAUGUUUUCUAACAUUCACUAUUUUUCAAUCAUUUUUACAUAAUGUAAUAGUAGUACCUUUAGCAACUAAAUAUUAAACCAAAUUAUAUGGAAACAAAGCCAUAUUUAUUUUGUAUACAAAGUUACUUAGUCUAUAUGAUAUUCAGAAAAGUACAAAAUUACCAUAACAAGAACAUAAGUCAAACAAAUAUGUGAUUACACUCAUUUGAGUCUUGGUAGGCAUAUAACCCAAGUAAAGGAGCAGAAAUACACUUUCUUGCCAAUAGUAGGUUCCUAGCCACAAGAGUUGAGAUGCCUACAGAUAUAAGUUGCUAUGUUUUGCUGUAGGAAUGAAGGAUGUUGAUUAAAUUGGAGAGGCAUUUAUGCAGAGCUAAUAGAAGAGAGUUUCACUCAUGCAUAUUUAAUGUCAUUUAUUUUGUUAAUUCUAAGCUUCAUAAAGACAGAAAUAUCACCUGUCUUGUUCACAACUAUGAUUCCCAGUAUAUGGCACUACGUCUUAUAACUGGUAAAAAAUUAAUAGUAAAAAUUUAAUGAAGAAAAGGCAUUAUCAAGCCUUUUGUACAGCACACAUGCAUAUACUAGAAUAUGGACAGCAUACAAAAAUAUUAAUGUCACAGGAAAUCAAAUGACCAUCUUAAGAACUAUCCAACUAUCAAAUUGACAAAAUUUAGAAAAUUAUAACAAGGGCAGCCCCGGUGGCGCAGCGGUUUAGCGCCGCCUGCAGCCUAGGGCGUGAUCCUGGAGACCCUGGAUCAAGUCCCACGUCAGGCUCCCUGCAUGGAGCCUGCUUUUCCCUCUGCCUCUCUCUCUGUGUAUGUCUCUACGAAUAAAUAAAUAAAUAAUCUUUAAAAACGUAAAUAAAUAAAAUUAUAACAAUAAUUAGUGAAGUAGGAAUGAUGGAAUAGGCACGCUGUUAUAUAUAAAUAUAAAUUCAUACAUUUUUCAGAGGGGCACAAUUUUACGUGUUCAAAAGCCUCAAAAACAUUAAUAUAUCCUAAAUACUUCAGAGAGAUAUAUAUAAAGAUUUAUGUAUAAGAUAUUUUUACAGAUAUAUUCGUGUCAGUAAAAGAAAUGUAAAUUGCCUAAAUAUUUACUAGGAGAUUGAUUAAAUAAAUAAUGUGACAUCUAUAUGUUGUAAUAUUAUGCAUACAUUUAAAUAAUGUAUUCGUACACUAUUUAAUUAUGUAGAAAUACUUACUGAAAAUUAAAAACUAAACUGCAUAUUUACAAAAUCACAUUUAUUAUAAAACAUAUGCAGAUACAAAAGAAAAAUAAUAAAAUGGAAAGAAUUUAUCUACUUUGGGGUGAAAAUGUCUUUGAAGAUUUUGUUUCUUCUUUAUGCUUCCUUUUGUUAAUUUUUUCUCUUAUGAACAUAUGUUUUACAAAUCAGAACAAAAAUUUCCUUAAAAGCUUUUUCAUUUUAAUUUCUGUAUUAGUUUUUUGUUCUUUGAAAAUAUCAUCAGAAAACUAAUUUUGAUUACAUUUACUGAAUGGAGAGAGGGUGUGAAGUUUUGUGAACAUUAAAAUACUAGCCUAAUAUGACUCGCCUAAUUUUAAGGUGUCACAUUUGAUAAAAUGUUAGCAGUAAAAAGAACAUCAGAGAUGCCCUAAUUAAACCUCCAUCUUCAGCCAUAAGUGGCCAUGCACUAUUUCCACAUUAAGCUUUCCAUGAUAAUGUGUUUCAAAUUUGGCACGUACUUUUACUUGUUUGGGAAACAAGAAUUGGGAUGUAGAAAAUAAUACAACUAAUGGGCCAAUAUUCUCUACUCUAAUAAGCAUUUACAUUUUAAAAUGUGUCAGUAAACAAUACUUAUUAUACAUGAAAACCUUACACAUUGACUAUUCAUGACUUGAAAUAGUUUCAUAGCUUGAAAAUAGUUUCUGAGUUGUAAGUGAAUUUUUUUAAAAAAAAGUUAAGUUACAGAAAAAGAAAAUAAAUAGCAUUUUUCCACUGGGUUAUUAAUGUUUUAUUCUGCUUCAUUAUGUUUUCCUUUUUCAGUUGUUUACUAUUAAAGUGCUUUUUUCCUGGUUCAUAGUUAACCUAUAUUUUAUAGCCUUUGCAUUUACAUUGAGAACAUAUGACUGAAAAAUGAAAUAUAGGCUUCCAGGCUUAUCUCUAAACACUCUGUAGCAAUUGCUCAUAUUGUAUGUCAUAUUUAAAGAUUAUGGGGUUACUACAUGCAAGGGUGCUGAAUCCCUAAAUCACUUUUAAAAUUUUAUUUAUUUGGGAGAGAGAAAAAGUUUCUACUCUCUCUCUGGGGGAGCAGAGUGAGAGGGACAAGCAAACUCUGCAUGGAGCACAGAGCCAGAUUUGGGGGGGGGUGGGGCUCGAUCUUAUGACCCUGAGAUCAUGACCUGAGCCCAAAUCAAGAGUUGGUCACUUAACUGACUGAGUCACCAAGGAGCCACCCUUUAAUCACUUUUUGUAUGAAAAAUUAUCAGGAAAAUUAUGCAAUUAUGAACAUCCACUGACUUUGCAUAAGUGAAAAUAGCACAAAAGUUGUGUGAUUACUUAUUGUAGCAGCUAGCUUUAAUUACACUGACUAAUACAAAAAAAAACAGCACCUCAAAAUUUGAGGUUGAUGUAACAAAAACUACAAUAUGUAACAUUAGCUUAGUUGUUGGGCAGCAGAUAUUAAGAAUGUGGAUAAAGCAGGUUGGUCGAUUGGUGAUUGCAAUGAAAGGACAUUUAAAAACUGUCACCUGUGCUCCUGUGGUAGCUUGGAGGACAGUCCAAUGCUUACUGAGCUUUUAGUUCUAGAGAUGCUUGGAAUAUUCAUGUUAGUAAUACGUAUUAUUGUUAUUGAUGGUUUCAGCAAAGUAUUACAAGAAAGAGAUGAGCUCAGAAAAUAAUUAGCAGAUUUAAUGCAGAACUGAAAAGGAAUACAGAAGUUCAGAAAAAUAAGCAAGAGAUAGUCUUUGAAAAACUGGAAAACCAAGACCUACUGAGAUUUCUCAGGUGCACAGAGUGACUAAGAUUUGUGCCAAAGAUCAAAGAAAGGGCAAGCUCUACUCACUCAAGCUUGACAACCUCAAAAUUAUCUGAGUUGAAGUUGAAUACAGAGACAUGACAGCAAGGUAGCAAAGAAAUGAAACAUAUUUGAGAACAAAGUCCGAUAGUUUUAGCUACUUGCACUUGAAGUUGACUGGAAGCUAAUAUUUUUUCCAAGUUUUUAAAAGAAUUAUAUUGCCAAAUAGACACAAGUCCAUAUUAGAAGUAUUUGACUCUGUAAUUCUUUUUUUUAAAGAUGUAUGUAUGUAUGUAUGUAUGUAUCUGGUAUGUAUUUAUUUAUUUAUUUGGGAAGAACACAAGCUGGGGGAGUGGCAGAGGAAGAGGUUGAGAAGCAGGCACCCCUUGAGCAGGGAGCUUGAUAUGGGGCUCAAUCUCAGGACCCUGGCAUCAUGACCUGAGCCAAAGGCAGAUGCUUAACCGACUGAGUCACUCAGGUGCCCCUUUGACUCUGUAAUUCCUAAAAAUUCUUUUGGACACUCAUAUUUCCAUGAACAUGAGAUUGGUUCUGUAAAUUGAAUAGCCAAGAAAGGACUUUACAGAUGGCCAUGGAGAAUAAGAAG
rnacentral:lncRNA from 1 species